rnacentral:rRNA from 1 species
GUGUCAGCAGCCGCGGUAAUACGGAGGGUGCGAGCGUUGUCCGGAAUCACUGGGCGUAAAGGGCGCGUAGGCGGCCUGGUAAGUAGGGGGUGAAAUCCUGCGGCUUAACCGCAGGGCUGCCUUCUAAACUGUCAGGCUCGAGCACGGUAGAGGCAGAUGGAAUUCCCGGUGUAGCGGUGGAAUGCGUAGAGAUCGGGAAGAACAUCAGUGGCGAAGGCGGUCUGCUGGGCCGUUGCUGACGCUGAGGCGCGACAGCGUGGGGAGCAAACAGGAUUAGAUACCCUCGUAGUCC